AAUCUAUUCAAUAUAAACAAGCAAAUAACUGCAAACACGCAGUUAUUUACUUUACAAGCUGUUAAUAGAUGGACUGGAAUCAUGUGGAUUACUUGUGGAUAAGUGUCAUGUUUUUCUCAGCUGUAUGGCACCCAUUCACUGCAGAGGAUCCAUUGGUGAAGAAGUGAUGUAAUGCUACAUUUCUCCUACAAAUCUGUUCUGAUGAUGAAAUAACUCAUCUACAUCUAGGAUCACCUGAGGAUGGAGUUUGUCUUGGAUUGAGGAGUCGACCAUCAGAAAAUCAACGAACCGUACUGCUAACUAUAAUGCUGGAAGACUGUGUUGGACCAGCUAUCUGCUGAUGGAAAUUAUGUCAGAGAGGUCUCUUAUGACACAACAAAUAUUAGGUACACACUUUUGCAACCCAGUUGGCAUCCAUAUUUAUU
ensembl:lncRNA